rnacentral:rRNA from 1 species
UACGGGGGGGCAAGCGUUGUUCGGAAUUACUGGGCGUAAAGGGCUCGUAGGCGGCCAACUAAGUCAGACGUGAAAUCCCUCGGCUUAACCGGGGAACUGCGUCUGAUACUGGAUGGCUUGAGUUUGGGAGAGGGAUGCGGAAUUCCAGGUGUAGCGGUGAAAUGCGUAGAUAUCAGGAAGAACACCCGUGGCGAAGGCGGUUCUCUGGGACGGUACUGACGCUGAGACGCGAAAAGCUAGGGGAGCGAACAGG